ACACGGCUGGCGGCGUGCCUAAUACAUGCAAGUCGAACGGUCUUUCUAUGGAAGCUUGCUUCACUGAGAGAUAGUGGCGAACGGGUGAGUAACACGUGGGUAACCUGCCCAUAAGAGGGGGAUAACAUCCGGAAACGGGUGCUAAUACCGCAUAGUUUUUCUUGAUCGCAUGAUCGGGAAAGGAAAGACGGCCUUUGUGCUGUCGCUUAUGGAUGGACCCGCGGCGUAUUAGUUAGUUGGUGAGGUAACGGCUCACCAAGACGAUGAUACGUAGCCGACCUGAGAGGGUGAUCGGCCACAUUGGGACUGAGACACGGCCCAAACUCCUACGGGAGGCAGCAGUAGGGAAUCUUCCGCAAUGGACGAAAGUCUGACGGAGCAACGCCGCGUGAGUGAAAGAAGGUUUUCGGAUCGUAAACUCUGUUGUCAGAGAAGAACAAGUUGGAGAGUAACUGCUCCAGCCUUGACGGUAUCUGACCAGAAAGCCACGGCUAACUACGUGCCAGCCGCCGC
rnacentral:rRNA from 1 species